GAGUAAAUUUUUAACAGGCAACACAGGGGCCACAAGUAUUACGGGCGAUCACAGCAACACAGUAUGAAACUUCUGGUUAUUGUCAACAAAUUUCAUAAAAAGACCAAACCCUUAAUUAACUGAUCUAAUAAACAGCACUGUCUGUUAAUAUAGUUUGUUCCUUUCUGCUAUAGAUGUCCACUGGGGCACAAAAUUAUUCAAAACCUGCAAGUUAGUCAUAACGCAAAUUUCUGACUACAACGUCUCCACUCAGAGCAACCUGAAAGUCGAGUAAUUAGGUCACAUCCUACAUGAUCCUUGCUGCAUGUCAUCCCCCAUGUUUCCUAUAUAUUUUCACUUACACGAUCAAAUAUAACCCUUACAGAAAACAGAACCAUAGAACAAACACUGGCAUUUAAUUAUAUGAUGGAUUUCAGACAAGUAUGCCAUCUCUACUUAAAGCUAGAGUAUGCAGGACCGCAGAAACAGCAACAGUAAGGUCAAUUUGGAAAGAGCACUAAAGAUGCACAACAUUAAAUAGACAUGACGGAUGCCAAGUUCAGGUGGAAGAGUAAAAUGUGGCUGCCAUUCUUGUCCUAUCUGCUCGCUAACUCUAGCAAUGUGUCCGCCUGGCUUUGUCAGAGACUCCGGUUACGUGCAAUGAGUGCUCACAGGCAGUUAGGCAAUCCAAUCAGAGUGCCCUGAUUAGACGGUCUACUGCCACAGAUAACACAUUUUUUUUCCUUUUUAACAUCAGAGCAUGUGAUCUAUUGAUUGCCUUCGAGAUGCAAAGAGACUUUCAACCAUAGACUGUAUAUAUAAUGGACGUAGCAUCUGGCUCCAGAAUUGAAGCCAACCCGGAAGUGUCAAAAACUUGCAAUAUCACGCCGUCCGCUAGGGCUGGCUCCAAAAAGCUUUUUCUCCAUAGACCCCAAUUCAUUUUUGGAAAAAAUAAAACUUGAUAGACUGAUUCUCUACAGCUCAGGAUUUUUUCCCCGUUAGUUUUCAUGGUCAAAAUGAGAGAUCAGGUGGCCGAUCUUAAAAUAAAUCAAUACUGAAUUUUAAAUAAAUCGUUAAAGUUGGCGGAGCCAGGGGGCGUGGCUAUACUUGAUAGACAGCAACAGAAGCCUCUGCGGUAAAAUGUGGGCGGGAUAAGAGAGUUCUCAGCCAAUCCUGCCCCUAGUUGCUCUCCGGUCCAGUCUGUUUGAUGACGCUUUUUACGUCACUGGCUCCAAAAAAUCCAAAACGGCGACCAGGAAGUAGCAAAAUCCGGGCUUCAUUUUCUCGGCGUUGAAACCGUCACGGUUAGUUCACGCCUGGG